rnacentral:rRNA from 1 species
CCUACGGGAGGCAGCAGUGAGGAAUAUUGGUCAAUGGUCGGGAGACUGAACCAGCCAAGCCGCGUGAGGGAUGAAGGUACAGAGUAUCGUAAACCUCUUUUGUCAGGGAACAAAGGCGGGGACGUGUCCCCGGCUGAGUGUACCUGAAGAAAAAGCAUCGGCUAACUCCGUGCCAGCAGCCGCGGUAAUACGGAGGAUGCGAGCGUUAUCCGGUUUUAUUGGGUUUAAAGGGUGCGCAGGCGGUCUGUUAAGUCCGCGGUCAAAGCCCGGGGCUCAACCCCGGCCCGCCGUUGAAACUGGCAGUCUCGAGUUGGAGAGAGGUAUGCGGAAGGCGCGGUGUAGCGGUGAAAUGCAUAGAUAUCGCGCAGAACUCCGAUUGCGAAGGCAGCAUGCCGGCUCCACACUGACGCUGAGGCACGAAAGCGUGGGUAUCGAACAGGAUUAGAUACCCUAGUAGUC